rnacentral:rRNA from 1 species
ACGUAGGUGGCAAGCGUUGUUCGGAAUUAUUGGGCGUAAAGGGCGCGUAGGCGGUUUGUUAAGUCGGCUGUGAAAGCCCGGGGCUCAACCCCGGAGGGUCAGCCGAUACUGGCGGACUAGAGUACGGAAGAGGUAGCUGGAAUUCCCGGCGUAGCGGUGAAAUGCGUAGAUAUCGGGAGGAACAUCUGUGGCGAAGGCGACACCCUGGACCAGCACUGACACUGAGGCACGAAAGCGUGGGGAGCAAACAGGA